rnacentral:rRNA from 1 species
CAGCGCCACAAGUGGGGACCGGUAUUAUUGGGCCUAAAGCAUCCGUAGCCGGAUUAGUAAAUCCUUUGUGAAAUUAUAGGGCUUAACUCUAUAGCGUGCAGAGGACACUGCUGAUCUUGAGACCGGGAGGAGUUAGAGGUAUGUGUGGGGUAGCGGUAAAAUGCAAUAAUCCCACGUGGACCACCUGUGGCGAAGGCGUCUAACUAGAACGGGUCUGACGGUGAGGGAUGAAAGCUGGGGGAGCGAUCCGGAUUAGAUACCCGAGUAGUCC